GACGAACCGUGCUAACGUUGUUCGGAAUCACUGGGCUUAAAGGGCGCGUAGGCGGGCUUGCAAGUCAGGGGUGAAAGCCCACGGCUCAACCGUGGAAGUGCCUUUGAUACUGCAAGUCUUGAGCGAGGUAGGGGCGUGCGGAACUUCCGGUGGAGCGGUGAAAUGCGUAGAUAUCGGAAGGAACACCGGUGGCGAAAGCGGCGCGCUGGACCUCUUCUGACGCUGAGGCGCGAAAGCCAGGGGAGCAAACGGG
rnacentral:rRNA from 1 species